rnacentral:rRNA from 1 species
AGUUGCGAAGGCGGCUCUCUGGACUGUAACUGACGCUGAGGCACGAAAGCGUGGGGAGCAAACAGGAUUAGAUACCCUGGUAGUCCACGCUGUAAACGAUGAGUACUAGGUGUCGGGGGUUACCCCCUUCGGUGCCGCAGCUAACGCAUUAAGUACUCCGCCUGGGAAGUACGCUCGCAAGAGUGAAACUCAAAGGAAUGGACGGGGACCCGCACAAGUAGCGGAGCAUGUGGUUUAAUUCGAAGCAACGCGAAGAACCUUACCUAAGCU